rnacentral:rRNA from 1 species
CUCGCUCAGUAAUGAUCCUCCGUAGGUGAACCUGCGGAAGGAUCAUUACUGAGCGAGCCCCCCGGCGAAUCGGUUAGGCCCGAUGCCGGGGCGAUCGUAACCCGUGCCUACCUACCUUUGUUGCUUUGGCGGGGCGCCCCCCCCGGCCAGCGGCCCCCCGGCUGCUGCGUCCCCGCCAAAGGACCACAACCCGUGCCAUGUCAGUGUCGUCUGAGUACUAUAUAAUAGUUAAAACUUUCAACAACGGAUCUCUUGGUUCUGGCAUCGAUGAAGAACGCAGCGAAAUGCGAUAAGUAAUGUGAAUUGCAGAAUUCAGUGAAUCAUCGAAUCUUUGAACGCACAUUGCGCCCUUUGGCAUUCCGAAGGGCAUGCCUGUUCGAGCGUCAUUACAACCACUCAAGCUCUCGCUUGGUCUUGGGGCACCCGGCACCGGGGCCCCCAAAAUCAGCGGCGGUGCUCGCUAGCUCUACGCGUAGUAAUACCCCUCGCGUCUGACCCUAGCGAGCCACCGGCCGGCAACCCCCCACACCUUUCAGGUUGACCUCGGAUCAGGUAGGGAUACCCGCUGAACUUAAGCAUAUCAAUAAGCGGAGGAAGGAUCAUUACUGAGCGAG